GGUGUGGCCGGACAAGGGUUGGAUUUCAGGGCUCACCCUGCUCCCGGCCUCCCCCCUCCACUUCUUCCCUCAGCUCUGGAGGCAUCUGAAGAGAUUCUUGCGGGCACUUUUCAGACGUCUUUUCACCAAAGACAAGCAAGCAAGCUGUGUAGGCAGCCGUCACAUGCGCAUGCGCUGCUCCGUGGAUCCCAAGAACCUGUGCUCAAGAGUUUCUCCCUGCUUCCGCCAUCGCCCAAGCUUCCUGCUCGGGCACCCAAACCACCCUGACUCCUGGAUACGAGACAGAAAAGAUGAGAAGGCUUCUAAGUACUGCUGGAUGCCGCCUCAGUGUGGACGGGCUGGGGCUUCCACGGAGGUUACACGGGGACUGUGGAUGGAGCGGGUAGUGAGAGCUGGGGAGGCCCCUCCGGUCACAGUCUUAAAGUCCCAAGCCAACUUUUACUCCAGGUCUCAGAAGAGAAACACGGACCCCCAGACUCCAGUCUACCCCAAAUUCCUGUACUCCAAGGAUGCUGUACCUUCUCAAACUUGCUUCCAUUCUCCAAACAGUGCCCAGAGCUCACCAUGCACCAUGCCUCCACCAUACACUCUUUAUCUACCGCUUGUUUCUCCCAGAUCCUGGGUCCUUCAUCAACACAGCAACCACCAGAAGCCCUCCACCUUAAUACAAACCCCCACCUUUCCCCCAACCUCCAAGUCUUCUCAGUCUGUCCUCUCUUCCCAGGGCCCCAUCCCUCCCCAGUUAUCCACUACUUCCCAAACCCCAAGCCAGGCCCAACCCCGUGAACUUCCUGAGAGUCAAGGCCUCAACCAAGCCUCUGUCCUCCAAAGGACCCCAGGCCCUUCCAAAGUCUGCAGAGUUUCCUGAAACCCAGGCCUAACCACAAACCCAGACCUCCCCAAGAACCCAGGCCUUGCUCAAGACCAAGGCCUCCACAAGCUUCCAGGCUUUACCCAAGAUGCUGGAAUUGACAGGGGCUCAGAACAUACCCAUGACCCUAGCUUACACAAGUACUGUGGAAUUCAUCGAGAUCCUGGCCCCAUAAGAGUCCAGCCCUUACUCAAUACUCUGGCUCAUCCAAGAGAUCAGGCCUCCAUAACAACUCAUGCCUUAUCCCAAAUCCUGGCCUCCAUAAGAACCCUAUAGGAACUGACUCUGUCCAAGUUUUGGGCCCACAUCAGACCCGACAGUCAUUUAUAUCUGAGGCAGUUCCUCGAAAGGAGGAUGCAGGGCAGCACAUACCAUGGACUUCUAUCCCACCCAGUCAGAACUCCUGCUCUCCCAAGGCUCAGGUAGCCUACAAUGACCUGCAAGCCUUCUCAGAGGUACCUGGGGUGAUUGAGCUGCAAUCACCCUCCCAGCGAGCAGGCAGCCAAGACUGGGUGUACCACCACAUGGAUACAGUUCCUCCAACCUGCCAGAACUAUCGCCAGAUGUCUACGCCUCCCAAAACCAGCUGGAAGCCCUACUGUCCUGGGUCAGGCACCCGGCUCGGGCACGUGGUCUUUGACGCCCGCCAGAGACAGUUCAGAGCAGGCAGGGAAAGUGCGAAGCUCUGUCUCCCAGGCUCCUUCACCGAGAGACAUCCAACAACUCACCGGAGACCAUCAAGGAGUGGGGAUAUCAGUGUGUGAUGAGCAACUUAGAAAAAGAGGGGACAGAUAUGCACGAGGAAUAAAGAGACAAGA